rnacentral:rRNA from 1 species
AGUGAACGCUGGCGGCGUGCCUAAUACAUGCAAGUCGAACGGACGAGUAAGAGCUUGCUCUUAUGAGUUAGUGGCGCACGGGUGAGUAAUGUAUAGUUAAUCUGCCCUACACUGGAGGACAACAGUUAGAAAUGACUGCUAAUACUCCAUACUCCUUCUUAACACAAGUUAAGUCGGGAAAGUUUUUUCGGUGUAGGAUGAGAAUAUAUUGUAUCAGCUAGUUGGUGAGGUAAUGGCUCACCAAGGCUAUGACGCAUAACUGGUCUGAGAGGAUGAUCAGUCACACUGGAACUGGGACACGGUCCAGACUCCUACGGGAGGCAGCAGUAGGGAAUAUUGCUCAAUGGGGGAAACCCUGAAGCAGCAACGCCGCGUGGAGGAUGACACUUUUCGGAGCGUAAACUCCUUUUGUUAGGGAAGAACAAUGACGGUACCUAACGAAUAAGCACCGGCUAACUCCGUGCCAGCCGCCGCGGUAAUAC